rnacentral:tRNA from 1 species
UCCCUGUAGCUUAUAGGUUAAAGAAUCUGCCUGCAAUGCAGGAGACCCAGGUUCAAUCCCUGGUUUGGGAA